rnacentral:lncRNA from 1 species
AAGUGUAUGAUUGAUUUGUUUGUGUUGUACCUUUACUUGUAUGAUGAAAUGAUAAAAAUUAAAUUUACAUAANCUUACCCUUAUCUGUUCUGUCUUUAAUCCAUGUUAUCGUUCGGUGUUUGACCGUCCGGAUAUUCACUCUGUUGCAAUGAUCAUCCUUUUGGGUGUGAGCAGAGAGUACUUUGGAGGAUGCUUUAGAAGCUUCGUUGGAAGACACUUUGGAAGAUGCAGUAGAAGCCGUGCCCGAGAGUUAUGCAGGACCGUCCGGUCCUUAGUGUAGUUGUUUCUC